UUGCCAUCAGAUGUGCCCAGAUGGGAUUAGCUAGUAGGUGGGGUAAUGGCUCACCUAGGCGACGAUCCCUAGCUGGUCUGAGAGGAUGACCAGCCACACUGGAACUGAGACACGGUCCAGACUCCUACGGGAGGCAGCAGUGGGGAAUAUUGCACAAUGGGCGCAAGCCUGAUGCAGCCAUGCCGCGUGUGUGAAGAAGGCCUUCGGGUUGUAAAGCACUUUCAGCGAGGAGGAAGGUGGUGAACUUAAUACAUUCAUCAAUUGACGUUACUCGCAGAAGAAGCACCGGCUAACUCCGUGCCAGCAGCCGCGGUAAUACGGAGGGUGCAAGCGUUGAUCGGAAUUACUGGGCGUAAAGCGCACGCAGGCGGUUUGUUAAGUCAGAUGUGAAAUCCCCGGGCACAACCUGGGAACUGCAUUUGAAACUGGCAAGCUAGAGUCUCGUAGAGGGGGGUAGAAUUCCAGGUGUAGCGGUGAAAUGCGUAGAGAUCUGGAGGAAUACCGGUGGCGAAGGCGGCCCCCUGGACGAAGACUGACGCUCAGGUGCGAAAGCGUGGGGAGCAAACAGGAUUAGAUACCCUGGUAGUCCACGCUGUAAACGAUGUCGAUUUGGAGGUUGUGCCCUUGAGGCGUGGCUUCCGGAGCUAACGCGUUAAAUCGACCGCCUGGGGAGUACGGCCGCAAGGUUAAAACUCAAAUGAAUUGACGGGGGCCCGCACAAGCGGUGGAGCAUGUGGUUUAAUUCGAUGCAACGCGAAGAACCUUACCUACUCUUGACAUCCAGAGAACUUAGCAGAGAU
rnacentral:rRNA from 1 species